rnacentral:lncRNA from 1 species
UUUUCUUUUUUUUUUUGUCAAAAAAUCAUUCGAUUGCAAUAAAACCAGUACUAAGACAUGGCCACAAGGAGUUCAUACAAAAUAAAGCUUGAAAGGAAUUAAACUAACGACGUCAGUAGAUGCCACAAUUACUAAGCCCAACAGGGAAAAGAAGAAAUAAUGAGUGUCUUCUUAGCCAUCAGUAGAAGGAGGAUCAAUACUCCACGAUCCAAUCAACUUACAGGACAGCCACCUCUGCUUCUGAUCGCAAUAAAGAACUGAGCCAAUAGAUAUGAAAGUAGAAGCUCAGAUGAGAGACUUAGCCUUAAGGAUGACGACGGGGAAGGAGGAUAAAGACCAAAGCAUUAAUCUGAACUUGAGGGAUUAAUGAAAAUUCAUGAGUUAAAACCAUGAAUACUGCAAGCUCUGCUUUUAUCCACAAUAGUGACUUGAGAAGAACCCAACAUGAUUCAAAGUCCAACUCCAAAUGAUGAAUCCCUAUCAAUUCAGAUCAAUGACAGCCCAACAUACAUCUAGGUAUUGUUGUGUCUCCAAUAAACCCUAAAUGAAAACCAUCUUGUAACAGGGAGCAAGGCAUAACUCCUCUGACAAGAACCAGGGACAAACUGAACAUGGAUGACAAGCACAAGAAGCGUCACCAUCGAACUCUAACGAAUCGGAGAAGCAAAGCAGUCAUAAGACUCAACGCGAAACUUUUUAAAAAAACCCCGAACCAACUACCAUAGCAAAGCCUAAACACAAAUGAAUGGCAACAAAUAACUAAAACCGUCGCACAUGACAAGCCAUACAAGAUUCCAUUGCAAAAGAAUCAAGCUACCCAACAGCUAAUUGUAAAGACCAUUGGGAAGAUCAGCAACAAAGGUCUACCAACACCACCAAAACCAUCACGCAAGGAAAUUCGCCACUGUCACCACCAUAUACACUCCAGACACACCUUCCUUGCUUUAACUCCAUGUAGAACAUCAUAAAGCUACACGAAGACCAUCAACGACCGCUGCAAAAGAGGCCAUACGGAGAGAGAAUAUACGAUUUUAAAGAGAAAAGAAGGAUACACCACUGAAAGAAGAGAUCCGAGGAGGAAUAGCUUUCCCCGGUGGUGGCAGAAACCAAACCAUCGAGGAAGCUGUGGUGGAUCUAAGACCAUAUAAUACUAGUUUUAUAUGGUCUUUCGAUCCAGAGGCUUAACAUGAUUAUUUUUGUUAAGUUAACGAUAUCACAUUAUUAGAUUGAGAACAAAAGUAAGAAUAAAUAUAUAUGGCCAAGGGAAAAAAAGCCCAUCACAAGCUUUGAUGAAAUCAGAUACAGUUCAUCGAGAAAACUUUGAAGGGCUUUGGCUUUAUGAUUUAGGUGAAGAAACAUCGAUGGAAUCAUAAAUUCGGUCAUUUCACUAUACAUACAAAAGUAAAAUUUCAUACAAAUUCUUUAACAAAGUUUUGUUAUGUUUUUUAAUAUCUAAACUUUUCUGCUAUCCAAAUUAAUACUAGGACUGAUUAUUUUGUUCAUUUUAAUACACAAACUUUUAAAAUCGGAUUAAUUUUAAUACGAAAACAAUGUUUAUUUUAAAUAUAAGUUACAAACAAAGUUUGAAAAAAAUCUGAAUUUCAAAAAAAUCUUAAAAAAUCUAAUUUAUUUUAAAAUUUAAGAACAAAAGUAGCUAACUUUUGUAUAAAUUUUUGAAAUUUAGAUAAAUUAAUUUCAAUUUUUGAAAAAAAAAAUUAAAUUUUAUAUUAAAAUUAAAUAUGAUUUCGUCUAUAUUUUAAUCUUUUUAGUGAACCGCGCAAGUUAAUUAAGGAGAUCAGUCUAUGUUACGAUAUAGAUGAAUAUUUUAUCUUGAAGUUCAGAUCGUUUAUAUUAAUAUUUUUUUUAAAGUGAUUAAAUAUUUUUAUAAUAUUUUCAUACAUGUGAUAUAUUUUUUGGAAUUUUUUUUAAUCCUGAUUUUAGUUAUGAUUUUCAAUGUAAUGCGGGCGUGCUUAAUUUAACAAAAACAAAGAUCCAUUAGAUUUCUUGAGCGCAGAAAAAAACAUCAAUGAUUGCAUGAUCUACUAAUUACAACUAGCAACUACUAGAAGUGCAAAGCCUUUUUUUUUUUUUUGAUAAAAAAGCAAAGCCUAUUUUUUUUUAAGAAAAAACUACUAGAAGUGCCGAAGUUUUGUCGUCCUAAUAUACCUAAAUGCAUUGACACUGCAAGUUCAAAUAUAUAUCGUCAUAGACUCUUUCUUAAUGAUCAAUCGCAUGAAAAUGAUUAUGAAGCUAGCGAUGAUAUGGAGGGUGUAAUAACGUACAUGCAAAUCACAAAAGAAUUAAUGGUCCAGAGUUUGGAAAGGUAUUAAAAAACCUAGGACAAUUAUUAAUAUAUAAAAUAAAAUUAUUAAGGGUAAAAUCUACCAUCUCAAACAUAUUCGCUAAUAUGAUCAAGCGAAAUGCAUAUUUAAAUUUCAACUGAGAACAACUGGAUCUGCAUAGUACCGAUAGACAAAACUCCAAGAAAUACGUCAGUUUGGACCUCGGAUCCCUAAAUAUCUCCGGACUCACGAAAAAAGUCAUCUGAAGCGGAGUGACAGGAGGCGGUCUGACAGGAGAUGGAAUAGUAAAUGAGAAAAAUUAUGUGGGAAAAAAAGAAAUUAAAAAAGAAAAAUAACACAUAAUUUAUUAAUUAAGUUAUUUAAUAAUUAUUUUAAUAUAUUUUUGAUUAGUAGGUUAUAUUGGUUGUCAGGAAAAGUGGAAUAACAUUUAUACAGAAUAUACACUCUGUAUCGUAACUAAUUAGGUAAAUUAAUUAGGUUCUUAAUUAUAAAAAAGUUGUGUUCCCGUGCAGUAUCCCUUCGUGUAAUAAUGAUGUGGUGUUGGCAAAAAUUGCUAAGUAGGGGUUAUUGGUUGUUGUAUUUUAAUGGAUUUGAAAAUCCGAACUAAAUCUAGUGUUAUUGGUUCUAUGAUUUUCAAAUCUGUAUUAAAAUCAUGUGUUAUUGGUUUAAUGAUUCAUAAAUUCUAUAUCAAAUCAAGUGUUAUUCAAUCGUACGGAUUUACUACUCCCUUACACGAUCAGCUCCUAGGUGUCGCGACUUGAUGGCAUUCCAGAUCUCUUUUGAUGCGGUUUGUUCUCCCACCUGGAGAAUCAAAGUCUCUGGAACAGAUUGAAACAAAAGAGCUAUCGCAACAUCGUUCUUCUUUUGAUCAUCUGAACCGGGUUCGAUUGUGUCCCACACUUCAUGAACACGUAGUAGAACCUUCAUCCUCAUCGACCAAACUGUGUAGUUUGUCGGUGACAACAUCGGACAUUGGAUGGAUGUAGAUCCAAAGUCCUUCGUGCGUGGAGCCCUAGUCACGUCAGCCAUCUUGCCGUCGCGAUCUCUUGUUCACAAGCACCAGGAUCUUAAGCUACAACUUAAGCUUAGAUCGAGUCUCCAACCUGAGGCUCUGAUACCAAUUCAGAUCUCUUAGAAACACAAAGAGUUAUAAGACCAACUUAUCUUAUUAGCUUUAGAAACUACUCAAAACUAAACUCUCAAUAUGUUUCACUUAGAACAUAUGGAACACCUCUCCAUUAGACCUAUAUUUAUAUGAAAGACAAUUCCCUUUAACAUGUGGGAUGUGGAAAACACAAACCUAACCUAAAUAGAAACUUCAUUUUCCUAUUUCUAGGUUUCUUUAUUGUGUUUAUCUUAACAUAUUAAACAUCUAAUAAUAUGUUAAGUUUCCACAAGCUUGGAAUUAUCCAACAGAAUCUCUUUCAAAACAUUCCAAACUAUAACAUCAUUCUCACUUAUAUUUCUGCUUGAAACAUCACUUGAAGAUACGAACCGCUUCCCACCCGAAAUAAUCUCGACAUCAAGAGCUGGACCUAGACAUCAGAUGUAUUCUUGCACAACUUUGUUGUUCCUACCUAAGACUUCCCUUGGAUCCUCCUGAGAAAGAUGUUGAGAGUUUAUAUGGAUGGAACUUAUAACUUGAUCAUCCUUGAAAGUAUGAAUGCGUUAUUAGUUAGUACCUUUUACAUAGUCUUAGAAAUUAAAAGAAAGAUUUUAAGAAAAUUGAUAGCAUAAACCAGUUCCUAUUAUAUUUAAACGAAUCAUUACAUUUUUUUUUUAAUACUAAGAAGUUCGCGGCAAAUCUAAUAUUAAUCUAACAGAUGACAAAAGAAAAAAGAAGUUCGCAGCCGAAUCUCUGUAAUCCCACGUGCCUGAAACCACAUCAUAUAAUACUAGUUUUUCUUUUUUUUUUUGUCAAAAAAUCAUUCGAUUGCAAUAAAACCAGUACUAAGACAUGGCCACAAGGAGUUCAUACAAAAUAAAGCUUGAAAGGAAUUAAACUAACGACGUCAGUAGAUGCCACAAUUACUAAGCCCAACAGGGAAAAGAAGAAAUAAUGAGUGUCUUCUUAGCCAUCAGUAGAAGGAGGAUCAAUACUCCACGAUCCAAUCAACUUACAGGACAGCCACCUCUGCUUCUGAUCGCAAUAAAGAACUGAGCCAAU